AUAGCAAAUUGAAGUGAUUCCAGGGGAGAGUAUUUCGAUACUCUGAGAUAGAUGAUUACCUCGAUAUAAUUAUGCCUGAUAAUUAUAUUACGACAAAACAUGGCCUACAGAU
rnacentral:misc_RNA from 1 species